ACCGAACCGACCCCCGUUGAAACGUUGGCGGAUGACUUGUGACUAGCGGAGAAAUUCCAAUCGAACACGGCGAUAGCUGGUUCUCCCCGAAAUAGCUUUAGGGCUAGCGUUGAACGAAUCUACCCGGAGGUAGAGCACUGAAAAUAUGCGGGCGGCACCUAGCCGUACCAAAUGUUAUCAAACUCCGAAUGCCGGGCAAGAAUAUUCAGCAGUCAGACUGUGGGUGAUAAGGUCCAUGGUCAAAAGGGAAACAGCCCAGAUCAUCAGAUAAGGUCCCAGAAUCUACGCCAAGUGGAAAAGGAUGUGGAGACGCGCAAACAGCUAGGAGGUUAGCUCAGAAGCAGCUAUCCUUGAAAGAGUGCGUAACAGCUCACUAGUCGAGUAUCUCUGCGCCGAAAAUUAACCGGGGCUAAGCGUAGUACCGAAUCUAUGGAUUUGUGCAGAAAUGUAUAAGUGGUAGGGGAGCGUUCCAAACAGCAUAGAAGGCAUACCGAAAGGAGUGCUGGAGCGUUUGGAAGUGAGAAUGCCGGUGUGAGUAGCGAGAUGCAGGUGAGAAUCCUGCACACCGAUAGACCAAGGUUUCCAGGGGAAGGUUCGUCCGCCCUGGGUAAGUCGGGACCUAAGACGAGGCAGAAAUGCGUAGCCGAUGGACAACUGGUUUAUAUUCCAGUACCCGCGAUACAACUGAAGGAGUGACGGAAAAGGUUACCUCGAGCCCUUAAUGGAUUGGGCAGGACAGAGAGGAGCAGGCAGCAGGCAAAUCCGCUGCAGGAUGCAGAGCUCUGGACCGAAUGAACGAGCGAUCAAGUAGUGAAGAGAGAGAUACCAGUUCCCGAGAAAAGCUUCUAAGGCUAAUUGUAUAGCGGCCCGUACCACAAACCGACACAGGUGGUCAAGGCGAGUAGCCUGAGGUGAGCGAGAGAACUGUUGCCAAGGAACUCGGCAAACUGACCCCGUACGUUAGCAAUAAGGGGUGCUCGAAAGAGCCGCAGUGAAUAGGCCCUAGCAACUGUUUAACUAAAACAUAGCUCUCUGCCAAGCCGCAAGGCGAAGUAUAGGGGGUGACACCUGCCCGGUGCUGGAAGGUCAAGGGGAUUUGUCAGCGCAAGCGAAGCAUUGAACCGAAGCCCCAGUGAACGGCGGCCGUAACUAUAACGGUCCUAAGGUAGCGAAAUUCCUUGUCAGGUAAGUUCUGACCCGCACGAAAGGUGUAAUGAUUUGGGCACUGUCUCGGCAGCAGACUCGGUGAAAUCUUAGUACCUGUGAAGAUGCAGGUUACCCGCAACUAGACGGAAAGACCCCAUGGAGCUUUACUGCAGUCUGCUAUUGAGUUUCGGUUGGAUAUGCACAGGAUAGGUGGGAGACGAUGAGACGUGGAUUUCGGUCUACGAGGAGUCACUGUUGGGAUACCACUCUUAUUCAACUGGAAUUCUAACUGAUAUCCGUGAUCCGGAUACAGGACAGUGUCAGAUGGGCAGUUUGACUGGGGCGGUCGCCUCCCAAAGAGUAACGGAGGCGCACAAAGGUACUCUCAGAAUGGUUGGAAAUCAUUCAGCGAGCGCAAACGCAGAAGAGUGCUUGACUGCGAGACAUACAGGUCGAGCAGGGACGAAAGUCGGUGUUAGUGAUCCGGCGGUGCAGAA
rnacentral:rRNA from 1 species